AUGAGUUCAAGAUCUGACCUCACAAUCAUGCGUGUCUGCUUCAUAAUCUUCUUGCUUGGAGUUCUUGUUGAGCUAUGUGAUGGAGGGAUUACCAGUGAAUAUGUCAGAGGAAGUGAUUUACCAGACGACAUGCCAUUAGACAGCGAUGUCUUUAAAGUUCCUCCCGGUCCUAACACUCCCCAACAGGUUCACAUAACGCAAGGUAACCAUGAAGGCAAUGGAGUGAUUAUUUCAUGGGUGACUCCUUCUGCGCCCUGUUCUAACACAGUUCGCUAUUGGUCUGAGAAUGGAAAAUCGAAGAAGCUAGCAGAAGCAACCAUGAACACCUACCGUUUCUUCAAUUAUACAUCUGGUUACAUCCACCACUGCCUCAUUGAUGAUUUGGAAUUUGAUAUGAAAUACUACUAUGAAAUUGGGAGUGGUAAAUGGCGAAGGCGAUUCUGGUUCUUUACUCCGCCUAAACCUGGUCCUGACGUACCUUACACCUUUGGCUUAAUAGGGGAUCUAGGACAAACAUAUGAUUCAAAUCGAACGUUAAGUCAUUAUGAGAUGAAUCCGGGAAAAGGACAGGCGGUUUUGUUCCUAGGAGACUUGUCUUAUGCGGAUCGUUACCCUUUGCACGACAACAACAGAUGGGAUACUUGGGGAAGAUUCGUUGAGAGAAGUGUUGCUUAUCAACCUUGGAUAUGGACUGCAGGAAACCACGAAAUCGACUAUGUUCCUGAAAUUGGUGAAACAGAACCAUUCAAGCCUUUUACGAAUCGGUAUCAUACGCCGUACAAGGCAUCGGGAAGUAUAUCUCCAUUGUGGUAUUCCAUCAAGAGGGCUUCAGCUUAUAUUAUUGUUAUGUCUUGUUACUCAUCUUAUGGGGUAUACACUCCUCAGUACAAAUGGCUACAACAGGAGUUCCAAAGAGUAAAUCGAACAGAGACUCCAUGGCUUAUAGUCUUAGUACAUUGCCCCUUUUACCAUAGCUAUGUGCAUCAUUACAUGGAAGGUGAGACAAUGAGGGUCUUGUACGAGCAGUGGUUCGUCAAGUCCAAGGUUGAUGUGGUGUUUGCAGGCCAUGUUCAUGCCUAUGAGAGAUCGAAACGUGUUUCUAACAUUGCCUACAACCUUGUCAAUGGGUUGUGUGAGCCAAUAUCGGAUGAGUCGGCUCCUGUGUACAUAACCAUCGGGGACGGAGGAAACUCAGAAGGCUUGCUUACUGACAUGAUGCAGCCACAGCCGAGCUACUCUGCCUUCCGAGAACCUAGCUUUGGGCACGGGUUGCUGGAUAUCAAAAACAGAACUCAUGCCUACUUCAACUGGAAUCGGAACCAAGAUGGGUCUUCCGUGGAAGCAGAUUCUGUGUGGUUGCUUAAUCGGUUUUGGCGAGCUCCAAAGAAGACGAUGGUUGUUGCCUCAUGAACACAAAGUGAUCUAUGCUAAACGAUGGAACACAGUGUGAGAGUUAUCAAGUUCUUUGACUUCUUCUUUUCUCAAACUUGUCCUUUUAUAAACACAUUACUACGAAAGUAAGAAGAUUAUUAUAUCUGCAAUAUUAUAAACACAUUACUAAGAAGGUAAGAAGAUUAUAUCUGCAAUCUUGCAAGUGUUAUAAAAUAAAAUAAAGAUAGUAAGUGUUAUGAAAA